UGAGGAAUAUUGGUCAAUGGGCGGGAGCCUGAACCAGCCAAGUCGCGUGAAGGAAGAAGGAUCUAUGGUUCGUAAACUUCUUUUGCAGGGGAAUAAAGUGCAGGACGUGUCCUGUUUUGUAUGUACCCUGAGAAUAAGGAUCGGCUAACUCCGUGCCAGCAGCCGCGGUAAUACGGAGGAUCCGAGCGUUAUCCGGAUUUAUUGGGUUUAAAGGGUGCGUAGGUGGUUUGAUAAGUCAGCGGUGAAAGUUUGCAGCUUAACUGUAAAAAUGCCGUUGAAACUGUCGGACUUGAGUGUAAAUGAGGUAGGCGGAAUGCGUGGUGUAGCGGUGAAAUGCAUAGAUAUCACGCAGAACUCCGAUUGCGAAGGCAGCUUACUAAGCUACAACUGACACUGAAGCACGAAAGCGUGGGGAUCAAACAG
rnacentral:rRNA from 1 species